UACAGGGGGUGCAAACGUUGCUCGGAAUCAUUGGGCGUAAAGCGCACGUAGGCGGUCUGUUAUGUCGAAUGUGAAAGCCCUUGGCUUAACUGAGGAAGUGCAUCCGAAACUGGCAGGCUAGAGUACUAAAGAGGGUCGCGGAAUUCCCGGUGUAGAGGUGAAAUUCGUAGAUAUCGGGAGGAACACCGGUGGCGAAGGCGGCGACCUGGGUAGAUACUGACGCUGAGGUGCGAAAGCGUGGGGAGCAAACAGG
rnacentral:rRNA from 1 species